UAUUCUGCCCCACGGGGAAGGAUGAGAAGCUUCGACUAAGGUUCGACUCGAGCGUAGCGAGAGAACGUUGCCGCAAGCAACGGCCCGAAGGGCGAGGCGCUUUAGCGCCGAGUCAUCCUUCCCCCACUACUG
rnacentral:sRNA from 3 species